rnacentral:rRNA from 1 species
CUACCGGGGUAUCUAAUCCUGUUUGCUCCCCACGCUUUCGCGCCUCAGUGUCAGUUACAGACCAGAAAGUCGCCUUCGCCACUGGUGUUCCUCCAAAUAUCUACGCAUUUCACCGCUACACUUGGAAUUCCACUUUCCUCUUCUGCACUCAAGUUCCCCAGUUUCCAAUGACCCUCCACGGUUGAGCCGUGGGCUUUCACAUCAGACUUAAGAAACCACCUGCGCGCGCUUUACGCCCAAUAAUUCCGGACAACGCUUGCCACCUACGUAUUACCGCGGCUGCUGGCAC